CCCUUAGAUGUUCUGGGCCGCACGCGCGCUACACUGAUGCGUUCAACGAGUCUAAAACCUGCUCUGAUAGGGGUGGGUAAUCUUUUGAAUGUGCAUCGUGAUUGGGAUAGAUGAUUGCAAUUUUUCAUCUUCAACGAGGAAUGCCUAGUAAACGCAAGUCAUCAGCUUGCAUUGAUUACGUCCCUGCCCUUUGUACACACCGCCCGUCGCUCCUACCGAUUGAAUGAUCCGAUGAAUAUCAUAGACUGAGAGUAUAAGCAGGUUCGCCUGUCUUUGCUUCUCGGGAAGUGAAGUAAAUCUUAUCAUUUAGAGGAAGGAGAAGUCGUAACA
rnacentral:rRNA from 1 species